rnacentral:rRNA from 1 species
GGUGAACGCUGGCGGCGUGCUUAAGACAUGCAAGUCGAACGGCAGUCUUCGGACUGUAGUGGCGCACGGGUGAGUAACGCGUAACUGACCUACCCCAAAGUCGCUGAUAACGAUUCGAAAGAAUCGCUAAUACGUGAUGUGCUGUCAGAUUGUGUUCUGCCAGUAAAGAUUGAUUGCUUUGGGAUGGGGUUGCGUUCCAUCAGCUAGUUGGUGGGGUAAAGGCCCACCAAGGCGACGACGGAUAGCCGGCCCGAGAGGGUGGCCGGCCACAGGGGCACUGAGACACGGGUCCCACUCCUACGGGAGGCAGCAGUUAGGAAUCUUCCACAAUGGGCGAAAGCCUGAUGGAGCGACGCCGCGUGAGGGAUGAAGGUCUUCGGAUCAUAAACCUCUGAAUCAGGGACGAAAGACACUUCGGUGGGAUGAUGGUACCUGAGUAAUAGCACCGGCUAACUCCGUGCCAGCCGCCGCCGUAACAC